rfam:Felis catus isolate Cinnamon breed Abyssinian chromosome B2, whole genome shotgun sequence.
CCAAAGGCUCUUUUCAGAGCCAUGCAUGUUUUCAACAAAUGAGGU